rnacentral:rRNA from 1 species
UACGUAGGGGGCAAGCGUUGUCCGGAUUUAUUGGGCGUAAAGAGCGUGUAGGCGGCUUGACAGGUCUGCUGUGAAAACUCGAGGCUCAACCUCGAGAUGUCGGCGGAAACCGUCUGGCUAGAGUCCGGAAGAGGAGAGUGGAAUUCCUGGUGUAGCGGUGAAAUGCGCAGAUAUCAGGAAGAACACCCGUGGCGAAGGCGGUUCUCUGGGACGGUACUGACGCUGAGACGCGAAAGCGUGGGGAGCGAACAGG